rnacentral:rRNA from 1 species
CCUACGGGGGGCAGCAGUGGGGAAUAUUGCACAAUGGGGGAAACCCUGAUGCAGCGACGCCGCGUGAGUGAAGAAGGAUUUCGGUACGUAAAGCUCUAUCAGCAGGGAAGAAAAUGACGGUACCUGACUAAGAAGCCCCGGCUAACUACGUUCCAGCAGCCGCGGUAAUACGUAGGGGGCAAGCGUUAUCCGGAUUUACUGGGUGUAAAGGGAGCGUAGACGGCAGCGCAAGUCUGGAGUGAAAUCCCAUGGCUUAACCAUGGAACUGCUUUGGAAACUGUGCAGCUAGAGUGCAGGAGAGGUAAGCGGAAUUCCUAGUGUAGCGGUGAAAUGCGUAGAUAUUAGGAGGAACACCAGUGGCGAAGGCGGCUUACUGGACUGUAACUGACGUUGAGGCUCGAAAGCGUGGGGAGCAAACAGGAUUAGAUACCCGUGUAGUC